ensembl:misc_RNA Metazoa_SRP Metazoan signal recognition particle RNA
GCUGGGUGUGAUGGCUCACACUUGUAAUCCCAGCACUUUGGGAGGCCGAGGUGGGAGAAUUGCUUGAGCCCAGGAGUUCCAGACCAGCCUGGGCAACAUAGUGAGAACCUAUCUCUU